AGAGUUUGAUUCCCUGGCUCAGGAUGAACGCUGGCGGCGUGCUUAACACAUGCAAGUCGAACGAUGAUCCCAGCUUGCUGGGGGAUUAGUGGCGAACGGGUGAGUAACACGUGAGUAACCUGCCCUUAACUCUGGGAUAAGCCUGGGAAACUGGGUCUAAUACCGGAUAUGACUCCUCAUCGCAUGGUGGGGGGUGGAAAGCUUUAUUGUGGUUUUGGAUGGACUCGCGGCCUAUCAGCUUGUUGGUGAGGUAAUGGCUCACCAAGGCGACGACGGGUAGCCGGCCUGAGAGGGUGACCGGCCACACUGGGACUGAGACACGGCCCAGACUCCUACGGGAGGCAGCAGUGGGGAAUAUUGCACAAUGGGCGAAAGCCUGAUGCAGCGACGCCGCGUGAGGGAUGACGGCCUUCGGGUUGUAAACCUCUUUCAGUAGGGAAGAAGCGAAAGUGACGGUACC
rnacentral:rRNA from 1 species